CGUAGGGUGCGAGCGUUGUCCGGAACUACUGGGCGUAAAGAGCUCGUAGGUGGUUUGUCGCGUUGUUCGUGAAAACCGGGGGCUUAACUCUCGGCGUGCGGGCGAUACGGGCAGACUGGAGUACUGCAGGGGAGACUGGAAUUCCUGGUGUAGCGGUGGAAUGCGCAGAUAUCAGGAGGAACACCGGUGGCGAAGGCGGGUCUCUGGGCAGUAACUGACGCUGAGGAGCGAAAGCGUGGGGAGCGAACAGGAUUAGAUACCCUGGUAGUCCACGCCGUAAACGGUGGGUACUAGGUGUGGGUUUCCUUCCUUGGGAUCCGUGCCGUAGCUAACGCAUUAAGUACCCCGCCUGGGGAGUACGGCCGCAAGGCUA
rnacentral:rRNA from 1 species